AUGAAAAUUGUAGGAUGGAACUGCCGGGGACUCGGGAACGGCCCAGCAGUUCGCAGCCUCCUUGAGUUGGGGAGGGAGGAGGAUCCCGACGUGGUGUUUUUGGUAGAGACAAAAAUGACUGAAAAGGAGUUGGAGAGGUUCAGGUGGACACUUGGGUUGCCCCAUUUGGUAGCCUGGAACUCGGAGGGAAGUAGGGGGGUGGCACUUUUUGGAGAAGGGGUGUCGACGUGA
rnacentral:rRNA from 1 species